GAUGAACGCUAGCGGCAGGCCUAACACAUGCAAGUCGAGGGGCAGCGGAUAAAGUAGCUUGCUACUUUUGCCGGCGACCGGCGAACGGGUGCGUAACGCGUAUGCAACCUACCUCGAACUGGGGGAUAAUCCGGAGAAAUCUGGUCUAAUACCCCAUAACAUCCGAAGGGACAUCCCUUUGGGUUGAAAGCUCCGGCGGUUCGAGAUGGGCAUGCGUUGUAUUAGCUGGUUGGUGAGGUAACGGCUCACCAAGGCUACGAUACAUAGGGGGACUGAGAGGUUUACCCCCCACACUGGUACUGAGACACGGACCAGACUCCUACGGGAGGCAGCAGUGAGGAAUAUUGGUCAAUGGACGCAAGUCUGAACCAGCCAUGCCGCGUGCAGGAUGACGGCUCUAUGAGUUGUAAACUGCUUUUGUACGAGGGUAAACCCGGAUACGUGUAUCCGGCUGAAAGUACCGUACGAAUAAGGAUCGGCUAACUCCGUGCCAGCCGCCGCGGUAACAC
rnacentral:rRNA from 1 species